CCCAGCCCAAUGCCAGCAUGCUCUGGGUAGAAACCAGAAGGGGACACCCCCAGCUCCCCGUGGUCCCCAGCCCUGCCCUCUCCUCACCAUCGCCUGUGCUUCCAGCAGAGAAAAAUGCUUAUUCUCCUUAAUGGGCUAUUGCAGCCCAGACAGGCGUUGCACACACAAACACACACACACACACACACAGUCUCUGCACUACCCAUACCAAAUCCCUGCCCAAACCAUUGGGGACCAUUCUGUUUCUCCACACCGUGUCACCCCCCCCCAGGACCCCACCUCUGUCCCUUUGCUUUCAGCAGCCAAGCACGGAUGAAACAACAGCAGGGAUCAAACGACACCGAAAUCAAGGCUAUUCCUACCUGGCAGUCAUUGAUUUCCUUCCCCCUUGCUGACAUCACCGCUCCCUUCAGGUUAAUACAUGCACCACUUCCCUUAUCUCUGCUCGGGAUUACCUCAUCGCAGCAAACCCAGCGCUCUCACUCCUGCUCUGCCGAAUGCCAGCACUGUGUUUGAACUGCAACUUCCCAACCGGAGGAAGGAUUUCUCCAGUGCUGUUCCAUCAGAGCUCUGAUCUCCCCCUCACACACUGACACACGGCUCUUUUUCCUUACAGAUCAGCUCUUUGCACUCCAGUGCAUGCUCCUGCUCCACGCAGGACGGAUCGCUCCCUUUGCUUGCAAGCAGGAGCUCCUUGCACGGAUUUCACGCACGCUGCAAACUGCAAAAGUGCUGUGUGCACACACAUACACAAAACUUAGCAUGCAUGCACACCAACAUGUGCAGGAGCACUCACACAACUGCACACCUCGCUGCUGAAAUGCAACACUUCAAGGGCCCCUCAGCUCCUUUAGCUGUAUGCUAACGCGCUGCAUGCAAACCGUGCCAGUAUAAGCAAGGUGAACGCACACAUAUGCAUGUCACCUUCACAAACGUUCGUAUCCUAAUGAAUUCUGACCAGCUGCUGAUCGUUCUGCCUUAAACAAAGAGAGCUGACAUGCUUUUUAUUUCGGCUGAUCACACCUCAUCCCCAAGAACAGCACCACUGCAAGCCAGUGCCGUCUAUUGGCUACGGCAUAAAUAUUUACAUCCCUCUGCACACACACACACACACACAGACAGACACAUUUCCAACACACACACCGCAAGCAGAAGGUGAAGCUCUUUGCAGCGCUGCUGUGCGGCCGCAGGAGGCGGUGCAGGACUUUCCGCUGGAGGUGAUUACGGAGAGGAACUUAACGCGGCCGGGCGGAGGGGGAGAGCGUUUUGCCGGCGGAGCGGAGCAGGAACAAAAGCCACGGGAGCGGUGCUGAAUAGGUGUCCUCCUAAUUGUCGGGAAUCGUGUGGCUGUGUGUGGCGCGGGCGGGAGGGGCGGUGGGCAGCGGCCUCCCUCCCUCCCCCCCCCAUCCCCCCUUCCUGGGGACGGGGUGAGCUCAGAGCAGAGGGCCCCUCCGCUCCCCGCACCGCACCGGGCUGCAGAGCCGAGCGCACGGCCGCACCCCGCAACCGCGUGUGGCCACCGCGGGGACAGCGGGGGUGUAGAGAUGGGGACGGGGAACACAGAGAUGAGGACAGAGGGGAUACAGUGAUGGGGACAGCAGGGGUAAAGUGAUGGGGACAAUGGGGAUACUGCAAUGGGGACAGCGGAAAUACAGCAAUGGGGACAAUGGGGAUACUGCGAUGGGGACAGUGGGGACACAGUGAUGAGGAUACUUUGAUGGGGACAAUGGGGACACAGUGAUGGGGACAGUGGGGAUACUGCAAUGGGGACAAUGGGGACACAGUGAUGGGGACAGUGGGGAUACUGCAAUGGGGACAGCGGGGAUACAGCAGUGGGGACAAUGGGGAUACUGCAAUGGACAGAGCAGGGAUACAGAGAUAAGGACAGCAGGGAUACAGAGAUAAGGACAGCAGGGAUACAGAGAUAAGGACAGCAGGGAUACAGUGAUGUGGACAGUGAGGACACAGCGAUGGAGACAGUGAGGAUGCAGGGAUGGGGACAGAGGGACACAGUGAUGGGGAUGCAGUGAUGGGUACAGUGGGGACACAGCGAUGGGGACACAGCAAUGGGGACAGCAGGGAUACAGAGAUAAGGACAGCAGGGAUACAGUUGCGGGGACAAUGGGAAUACUGCGAUAGGAACAGCGAGGACACAGGGAUGGGGACAGAGGGACACAGCAGUGGGAACAGAGGGGAUACAGUGAUGGGGACUGUGGGAACACAGACAUGGGGACAGCAGGGACACAGUGCUGGGGCCGCCCGGUGCCCUCUCCCUGUUCCUCCCCCUGCUUUGUCUCUGGCCCCGUCUCCCAGCCAGGCAGACACAAAGAGCCUCUGACCCGGGAGGAGAAAUACGCCUUGCAGAGAAAAUCCUCCCCAGCGCCCCGAGAGUGCGGAUGGAAGCGUGGCACCCCGGCUGCUCCCCGUAUCGCUCAGUGCCUCCAAGUGCCACUCAGUGACAUCUCCUCCACGCACACCAGGGAAGUGGCGUUUUCCCACAUCCAGGAGAUGUGCCUGAGCUCUUCCUCUGUCUCCACGUCAAAAUAAAGAGGUCCCAAUGGGACGAAUCCCCAGAAGCACAUCCUGAGGCUUCUGGGUCAUGCAGGAGCAAAAAGUCGGAUCUGGGACUUUUUUUCCCGCUCGCUGCUAUCCGUUCCCUCGAGCACUCAUAAAUCCUGGCUGUACCAAUGGGGGCUCAGGGGGGGUAGGCAGGCUGCAGGCCCGCAGUGCCCCACAAAUCCUCCUCCUACGUCUGUGUCCAAGCAUCAACAAGCAGAGCAUCACCUCACCAUCCCCUGCUGCUCUGCCGCCCUCCCAUGCGGACAGGCAUGGCAACAAGGCCACCUCUCCGCUCUCUGCCCCAUCGGCCUCCCCAGAGAUCUGAAUUCUGCUUAAGCCCUGAUUUCAGCCACAGGUGAGCGCAGCACUGAGGACGCAGCACGGUCCACCCAGAGCAUCCCUCCCUGAGCACGGCGCAGAAGAAACCCCUCUGAGAGCGCUGCACUGGGGAUGCGUUGGGCAGCUCAUUAGCUGCUGGGGUUAACGAGCUGCUCGGUGGGUUCCCUGCAGCCAGGGCUGGGCACGGGGUGAGCUGCGGGUGCAUCAGGUCGGGAGCGGCUGCACCUCUCGCAGCAUCUGCUCAGCUCUGACACGGUGCUCACUUGGGCUUUUUUUUUUUUUUAAUUGUCUUGAUGUCCCUCAUUUGCAUAAUCCCCACAAUGCAGCGCAGCAGGCCUUUUGCUCUGAGCUAAUAAAUAGAUGACAAAAAUAAAUGUGUCAUGUAAGAUUUGCUUCCAUUUCUUUCCCCCUUUGUGAGUGAGCUAUCACCAAGAAAUGAUGCUGGCGGAGCUGAUCUCCCAGGAGCUGUCAGCCUGGACUCAAAGCUUGCUUUGCCCAUGGAACACAACUUGGCCAGAUGUUAGAGUGAGAUGUGCAAGCUGAGAGCUGCAGCGGGAGGAGAUGUCCUCACUCCUCAGCCCCUCUGCAUUGCUCCCUAUAGAGAUGGCCCUGCAAAAUCAGCCCCAGGGCAGCGGGCAAAGGGCAUUCAGACAUCCAUUGCUGUGGGUUGCAGCGUGUCCAUGUCCAGGCAGGUGCUGGCAGUGCUCUAUUUUCUGUGAUUUUCUUCAAAAUCAGCUGUCGGUGCUUGCAGUGGAGAUGGCACCAUUUAGGAAAUGAGCUCCCUGAGCCAAGAAGAAGAGUGAUUGCUCAGCUGUGAGCAUCCAAGGGGACACCUGAGGCUGGAACAGCACCACGUGUUUCCUACAGGAUGAUUCCUCCUGCAAGGCUGUAUUUCUCACUUCGAGGAACUUGGCUGGACGGCGCCCAGGGAAGCAAGGGGAACAAAGACAAAGUCCUAAAGGAGAGCCUGCAAUCCAUCCCCAGGGCUCUGCAUGGCUGCAUGUCCUCGGGGCUGGGAUCAGGGAUGAACCACCUUACCCAUCUCCAUGCCGUGCAGGAUGUGGAUGUGAGCAGAGAGCAGCAGGACGCAUUGGGUUCCACAAGGUUUAGGAGCUGGUUACUUUGCGCCGGGUGCUGGCAGCUCUGGAGAUCAUCACUUGGGCCAUCUUUUCUCCUCCCCACAGCCCUGUGAGUCAGGAGGAUUCUCAGCUCUUAUAUAAAAGCAUCUCCAACUGUGUUGUUUGUGCCUGAAAACGCGAAUCCUAACAGGUAGGAGCUAGAAGAGAAAUAAAGACCUGAUAAUAUACGAGCUUCCUUUAUUUUUUUUCUUUUCUUUUAGAGCCCUGGCCUGCUUUAAAUCAC
ensembl:lncRNA